rnacentral:lncRNA from 10 species
CCUACGACCUCAGGUCCUCAGACUGACCAGCCCAAGAAACAUCUCACCAAUUUCAAAUCCGUCCUUCUCAGUUUAGCGGCUGAAGACUGAUGCUGCCCGAUUGCCUCCGAAGCCCCGUAGACCAUCACGGACGCCGAGCUUUGGGUAACUCUCACAGUGGAAGAAGGCAGGAAUGUCAGGCCUCUGAGCCCAGGCCAGGCCAUCGCAUCCCCUGUGAAUUGCACGUAUACAUCCAGAUGGCCUAAAGUAACUGAAGAUCCACAAAAGAAGUAAAAACAGCCUUAACUGAUGACAUUCCACCAUUGUGAUUUGUUCCUGCCCCACCCUAACUGAUCAAUGUACUUUGUAAUCUCCCCCACCCUUAAGAAGGUUCUUUGUAAUUCUCCCCACCCUUGAGAAUGUACUUUGUGAGAUCCACCCCUGCCCACCAGAGAACAACCCCCUUUGACUGUAAUUUUCCAUUACCUUCCCAAAUCCUAUAAAAUGGCCCCACCCCUAUCUCCCUUCGCUGACUCUCUUUUCGGACUUAGCCCACCUGCACCCAGGUGAAAUAAACAGCUUUUAUUGCUCAC